GACGAACGCUGGCGGCGUGCUUAACACAUGCAAGCCGAGCGGUAAGGCCCUUUCGGGGGUACGACGAGCGGCGAACGGGUGAGUAACACGUGGGUGACCUGCCCUCAGCUCUGGGAUAAGCCUGGGAAACCGGGUCUAAUACUGGAUAUGACUCCAUGACGCAUGUUGUGGGGUGGAAAGCCUUGUGCGGCUGAGGAUGGGCCCGCGGCCUAUCAGCUUGUUGGUGGGGUGAGGCCUACCAAGGCGACGACGGGUAGCCGGCCUGAGAGGGCGACCGGCCACACUGGGACUGAGACACGGCCCAGACUCCUACGGGAGGCAGCAGUGGGGAAUCUUGCGCAAUGGGCGAAAGCCUGACGCAGCGACGCCGCGUGAGGGAUGACGGCCUCGGUGUAAC
rnacentral:rRNA from 1 species